rnacentral:SRP_RNA from 1 species
GCUGGGCGCGGUGGUGCGUGCCUGUAGUCCCAGCUACUCAGGAGGCUGAGGUGGGAGGAUCGCUUGAGCCCAGGAGUUCUGGGCUGCAGUGUGCUAUGCCGACUGGGUGUCCGCACUAAGUUCAACAUCAAUAUGGUGACCUCCCGGGAGCGGGGGACCACCAGGUUGCCUAAGGAGGGGUGACCCGGCCCAGGUUGGAAACGGAGCAGGUCGAAACUCCCCUGCUGAUCAGUAGUGGGAUCGCGCCUGUGAAUAGCCACUGCACUCCAGCCUGGGCAACAUAGGGAGACACCGUCUCU